GACGAACGCUGGCGGCGUGCUUAACACAUGCAAGUCGAACGGAAAGGCCCUGCUUUUGUGGGGUGCUCGAGUGGCGAACGGGUGAGUAACACGUGAGUAACCUGCCCUUGACUUUGGGAUAACUUCAGGAAACUGGGGCUAAUACCGGAUAGGAGCUCCUGCUGCAUGGUGGGGGUUGGAAAGUUUCGGCGGUUGGGGAUGGACUCGCGGCUUAUCAGCUUGUUGGUGGGGUAGUGGCUUACCAAGGCUUUGACGGGUAGCCGGCCUGAGAGGGUGACCGGCCAAAUUGGGAAUGAGAUACCGGCCCGAACCCUAAGGGAGGGAGGAGUGGGGAAUAUUGCACAAUGGGCGGAAGCCUGAUGGAGGAACGCCGCGUGCGGGAUGACGGCCUUCGGGUUGUAAAACGCUUUUGCCUGUGACGAAGGGUGAGUGAAGGGAAUGGGUAAAGAAGCCACGGCUAAAUACGUG
rnacentral:rRNA from 1 species